rfam:Populus trichocarpa scaffold_1_contig_301, whole genome shotgun sequence.
AGAAAGCACCAGGGGUGCCUGUGCCCUGCUUUAACACUGGCCAUCUGGCUAGAGGAGGCAGCUGCCAGGCUGAGAAAGUCCCUUUGAACCUGAACAGGAUAAUGCCUGCGUAGGGAGUGUGCAUUUUCUUUUCC